CUCGGCCACCUGAUUCUUGCAGACAUGGAGGACUUCCGCAGGCUCGGGCCUCACCUUCUCCACCGUGGCCUCAAAAGCUCCUUGCUCGUCCGAAAGGCAUAGCAACAAUCACGUGACCUGGAGCCCCAGGUUUCCAAGCAGCCAACCCGCAUGAACACAGGCGCAGUUCCCAGGCACGGAGGACGCAAACAGGCUGGCGGCUCAUUAAACGUGGGUCCCAGGAGACAGAGACAGAGAAACUCCGCCUAUGAGUGAAAGUUCUGAAGUCCAGAGAAAGAAGGUGAUUCUUUCAGAGCUGCAGCCAGCGAGAGCGCACAGACCUGGACUUCUGACACCCAGCCCCCAUGACCCCAAUGCUACCGCACACAUUCUGACACCAUACCCCUAUUCUGUCUGAAGUGAAACUUCUUGUGAUUGCUUUGGGAAAUGAUAACUUUAUUAAAUCUGAGUUAGCUGUG